rnacentral:lncRNA from 1 species
ACAUACUCUCGAUUCUAUAUUUAUAUAGAUAUAUAGAGAGAGAGAGAGAGUUGAGCUAGAAUAUUGUCGAUAGUAAACGAGCCGUUUUACUACUGAUUUGUUUUCGAUGAUAGAGCUUCCAAAUAGACGAUCGGCUCCUUAAAUAUGAUCUAAACCAUUUAAACUACCUAGAAAUCAAAUUUCACGCACUUUCGAUAUUGUUCUUUUAUCCAUCAAGUGAACAGAAAAAUGAAUGGCUGAAAAUGAAUAUUCUUUAAAAAAUGAUGAUAGGAGUCUUGUAAUCAAGAUCAAGAGUAUAGAUCUUGUUUUAAAUAGUUUAAAGAAUUUUCUAACAAAAAUUCAAUUGAUUUGGAUAUCUUUACGCUGUUAAACGAGAAAACGCUUCUUAUCGACCAUUAAAAUUACAAAUUUUGAAACCCUUUGAUCAUUAGGCAAAUGAUGUCGAAAAGAUUUAAAAUUUGAUUUCUAAACACUUCAAAUGGUAUAGAUAAUGUUCAACAGAGCCGAUCGUCAAUUUGGAAGCUCUAUCAACGAAAACAAAUAGGUAGUAAAACAACUCAUUUACUACUGAUAGUAUUCUAGCAAAACUCUCUCUCUCACACUCUCUCUCUCUCUCUAUAUAUAUAUAUAUAUGAUACGAAGAUAUUGAUUGAUUCCAGUUGAUCGUUAAUAGUGGUCAAUAUGAUAUCUGUUGGAUAUAGCACCUAGAAAAUUGAAACGAUAUUUGGUGUUCUAGAAUCUAAUUUAUUCCAAUUAUUAGGAACUCACUGUCAGAACAUUGGCGCUAACUAUUGAUGUCUAAAGUUCAAGCUACUAGAAAAAUACAAUUUAUUCAUUUAAAACAUAUAGAUACAGCAUCCACGGAUCUCGAUUAUGACUCGAUCCGACCAGCCUUAUACUAUUUCGAACAUGACUCAGUCCAACUUAGCCUUACGCCAUUCCAAAUGUAACUAGGCCUAACCUAGCCUCUCGUAACAGUGCAGAAUGCUAGUUGAUUCAUAUUUCCCUAACGUCGACCGUCCCUAGCUAGCACGAGUGGUAAACGACUUACUAGUUGCUGGUUAGUACCCGAGAUAUCAAGUUUGAAUCAUAAUUAAUUCAUAUUUUUUACUGAAUUUUUUAAAAACAAAAAUAAAUAAAAUAAAUAGUAUACAACCU